rnacentral:rRNA from 1 species
CCUACGGGGGGCAGCAGUGGGGAAUAUUGCGCAAUGGGCGAAAGCCUGACGCAGCGACGCCGCGUGAGGGAUGAAGGUCUUCGGAUCGUAAACCCCUGUCAGCAGGGAAGAACGGUCACUGUGCUAAUCAGCAGUGAAUUGACGGUACCUGCAAAGGAAGCACCGGCUAACUCCGUGCCAGCAGCCGCGGUAAUACGGAGGGUGCGAGCGUUAAUCGGAAUUACUGGGCGUAAAGGGUGCGUAGGCGGUUAUACAAGUUAGAAGUGAAAUACCCAGGGCUUAACUCGGGUGCUGCUUCUAAAACUGUAAGACUUGAGUGCAGUAGAGGUUAGUGGAAUUCCUAGUGUAGCGGUGGAAUGCGUAGAUAUUAGGAGGAACACCAGAGGCGAAGGCGGCUAACUGGACUGCAACUGACGCUGAGGCACGAAAGUGUGGGGAGCAAACAGGAUUAGAUACCCCUGUAGUC